rnacentral:rRNA from 1 species
CCUACGGGAGGCAGCAGUGGGGAAUAUUGGGCAAUGGAGGAAACUCUGACCCAGCAACGCCGCGUGAAUGAUGAAGGUCUUCGGAUUGUAAAGUUCUUUUCUAAGGGAAGAAGAAAGUGACGGUACCUUAGGAAUAAGCCUCGGCUAACUACGUGCCAGCAGCCGCGGUAAUACGUAGGAGGCGAGCGUUAUCCGGAAUGACUGGGUUUAAAGGGUGCGUAGGCGGACUGGAAAGUCAGCGGUAAAAUCGAGAGGCUCAACCUCUUUCCGCCGUUGAAACUGUCGGUCUUGAGUGGGCGAGAAGUAUGCGGAAUGCGUGGUGUAGCGGUGAAAUGCAUAGAUAUCACGCAGAACUCCGAUUGCGAAGGCAGCAUACCGGCGCCCGACUGACGCUGAGGCACGAAAGCGUGGGUAUCGAACAGGAUUAGAUACCCUAGUAGUC